AACAGCGAAAAAAAGAAAACGUAAAAAAAAAAAAUGCCAAGUACACUAGUCGUUGCCGAGCCUAAUCCGAUGACGAGCCAACCAGUGACCAGUCACCCCACCUCUCUUUCUUCCCUUUCCCUACUCUCACGUGUCGGCCGAAUCAUCGCCGAACCGCUUUUUUAAAAUCAUUAACCCUAAUUUCCCCCACACCCCCUUCUAAUCGAAGCCCAACCCUCAUUCGUUCAUCUUCUCGAUGGCCGAUAUCACCGAUUCCGUCACACCGUUAGCUAUGAUCACCCCUCCUUCAACCACUCCCAGCUCAAGUACGUUACCCGUCCGUGAGGAUUGUUGGUCGGAGGAAGCUUCGUCUACCCUCAUCGACGCUUGGGGUCGCCGUUACGUCGAGCUUAACCGUGGGAACCUCCGUCAGAAGGACUGGCAGGAUGUUGCCGACGCUGUUAAUUCUCUUCACGGCCAUACUAAGAAGACGCAUCGCACCGAUGUCCAGUGUAAGAACCGGAUUGACACCAUUAAGAAGAAGUAUAAGAUCGAGAAGACACGGAUUGCGGCUUCUAAUGGAACCCUAAAGUCGUCAUGGCUCUUUUUUGAACGAUUGGAUGCUCUUAUCGGAUCUAGUUUUUCAGCUAAAAAGGUUUCGCCUUCGCCUAAGAUAUCACCGAAGCCUUCGCCGAGUUUUUCACCCGGGAUGCCUUGGUCUCCUCCCGUAGCUCUUCCGCUUCCGUUGCCCUACAGGACGACUCCGGCGCCGGCUACGGUUGUCUCGCUUCCACAGAAGAGGCCGGCUGUCGACGAUGGGUAUUUGAAUAGAAAUUAUUCCGCCGUUGCUGCUGCUGCUGCUGCUGUAGAGAGUGACGAGGAAGAGGAAAGCGAGGGAGAGGAAAAUGAAGGUGAAGGAGAGGAGAGGGAAGGGAUGAAGAGUUUGGCAAGAGCGAUUGAAAGGUUUGGUCAAGUGUAUGAAAGAGUGGAAAGGGAGAAGCUGAGGCAGAUGGUGGAAUUGGAGAAGCAAAGAAUGCAAUUUGCUAAAGAUUUGGAAGUGCAGAGGAUGAGGAUGUUUAUGGAUACGCAGGUGCAGCUCGUGAAGAUCAAACGUGGCAAAUGAUCCUCAGGUUCCAGCGAACCUUGCAUGAAUACCUGGUCUCCCUUCAUGUAUGCUACACAAGAACAAGAUGCAUUUGAAAGUUGCAUGCCUGGGAUGGUUGAUAUUUGAUUUCAGUUUGAAGAUAAUAUGCCAGAGCAUUAAAAGUUCUUAGUUUCUUUUGAUGAUGAAAAUGACUGAUUGAACAGAAGUGACACAAUCUGCUACUUUAAAUCCAAGCCUUCUCCUUGCGCAACAUCCAGUCACCCUCAAGUGCCAUGAGAAAUCAGAACAACAAAACAACUGGUCAGCUUCAGGCUUAUGAUCAGAUAAACUUCAUCUAAAUGGCUUGUCAGCAUAAAAUGGACGUCUCUCCAAUGCUGGUCAGUGGUCAGCUAACAGAGGUCGGCUGUGUUCCCUACAGAAUCAUGUGCCUA